UCAAGCUAAUAAGAGCACAGGGUGGAUGCCCAGGCACCAAACGCCGACGAAAGACGUGGCAAGCUGCGAAAAGUCACGGGGAACCGCAAGCAGGUAUUGAUCCGUGAACGUCUGAAUGGGGAAACCCGGCGGGUUAACAGCCCGUCACUAUUAACUGAAUCAAUAGGUUAAUAGGGGGAACGCGGGGAACUGAAACAUCUCAGUACCCGUAGGAAGAGAAAAUAAAGAAUGAUUUCCUAAGUAGCGGCGAGCGAACGGGAAAGAGGCCAAACCGAAGGGCUUGCUCUUCGGGGUUGUGGAUCAGCAAAAAGGACGAGAGACCUUAGCAGAAGAGGAUUGGAAAGUCCCGCCAGAGAGGGUAAAAGCCCCUUAUGCGAAAAGGUCAAACGACGAGCUGACACCAGAGUACCGCAGGACACGAGAAAUCCGGUGGGAAGCCGGGAGGACCACCUCCCAAGCCUAAAUACGAAUUGGUGACCGAUAGCGCAUAGUACCGUGAGGGAAAGGUGAAAAGAACCCCGGGAGGGGAGUGAAAAAGAACCUGAAACCCUGUGUUUACAAGCAGUGAAAGUGCGAGCAAGGCACGAUCACGUACUUUUUGUAGAACGGACCGGCGAGUUACGUUAUGCAGCAAGGUUAAGAACUGAAGGUUCGGAGCCGAAGCGAAAGCGAGUCUGAAUAGGGCGAAAGUUGCAUGACGUAGACCCGAAACCGGGUGACCUAUCCAUGAGCAGGUUGAAGUGGAGGUAAAGCUCCAUGGAGGACCGAACCAGACGUCUGUUGAAAAAGGCGGGGAUGACUUGUGGAUAGGGGAGAAAUUCCAAUCGAACCCGGAGAUAGCUGGUUCUCCUCGAAAUAGCUUUAGGGCUAGCCUCAUGGAUCAUUGAUGGGGGUAGAGCACUGAAUGUGCGCGGGGGCCACAAAGCCUACCAAACGCUAUCAAACUUCGAAUACCAUACAAUGCAGACCAUGGGAGUCAGUCCGCGAGAGAUAAGUUCCGCGGGCAAAAGGGGAACACCCCAGAUCAACCGCUAAGGUCCCCAAGUUCACGUUAAGUGGAGAAGGAUGUGGAAUUGCACAGACAACCAGGAUGUUGGCUCAGAAGCAGCCACACAUUUAAAGAGUGCGUAAUAGCUCACUGGUCGAGUGAUUGUGCGCCGAAGAUGUCCGGGGCUAAACGUGACACCGAAGCGAUGGGUGCAUCUGAAAGGAUGCGCGGUAGAGGAGCAAUGUGCAGAGGCAGAAGCCGUAUCGAGAGGCACGGUGGACACUGCACAAGAGAGAAUGCCGGUAUGAGUAGCGAGAGGCAUGCGAGAAACAUGCCCGUCGAAAGCCCAAGGUUUCCUGGGGAAGGUUCAUCCGCCCAGGGUAAGUCGGGGCCUAAGCCGAGGACGGAAGUCGUAGGCGAUGGACAGCAGGUGUAGAUUCCUGCACUACCGAUGGAAUGAAGCAGUGACACAGAAGGAUAACUCGAGCAGGGUGAUGGUCAACCCUGUGCAAGCAUCAAGGUUGGGUUGUAGUGAAGUACGCAACCCUAUAAGCUGAGGUGUGAUGCGGACCGAAAUUUCAGUAGGGAAGCGAGUGAGUUCACGCUGGCGAGAAAAGCUGCUAGUAUAUCCAAAGGUACCCGUACCGGAAACCGACGCAGGUGGGCGAGGAGAGAAUCCUGAGACGAACGGGAGAACCCUUGUUAAGGAACUCGGCAAAAUGACCCCGUAACUUCGGGAUAAGGGGUGCCUGCGAGAGCAGGCCGCAGAGAAUAGUCACAAGCGACUGUUUAGCAAAAACACAGGUAUCUGCGAAAGCGAGAGCUGACGUAUAGGUGCUGACACCUGCCCGGUGCUGGAAGGUUAAGGGAACAUGUUAGAGCAAUCGAAGCAUCGAACCGAAGCCCCAGUAAACGGCGGCCGUAACUAUAACGGUCCUAAGGUAGCGAAAUUCCUUGUCGGGUAAGUUCCGACC
rnacentral:rRNA from 1 species